rnacentral:rRNA from 1 species
ACGCACGCUGGCGGCGUGCUUAACACAUGCAAGUCGAACGGAAAGGCCCUGCUUUUGUGGGGUGCUCGAGUGGCGAACGGGUGAGUAACACGUGAGUAAGCUGCCCUUGACUUUGGGAUAACUUCAGGAAACUGGGGCUAAUACCGGAUAGGAGCUCCUGCUGCAUGGUGGGGGUUGGAAAGUUUCGGCGGUUGGGGAUGGACUCGCGGCUUAUCAGCUUGUUGGUGGGGUAGUGGCUUACCAAGGCUUUGACGGGUAGCCGGCCUGAGAGGGUGACCGGCCACAUUGGGACUGAGAUACGGCCCAGACUCCUACGGGAGGCAGCAGUGGGGAAUAUUGCACAAUGGGCGGAAGCCUGAUGCAGCAACGCCGCGUGCGGGAUGACGGCCUUCGGGUUGUAAACCGCUUUCGCCUGUGACGAAGCGUGAGUGACGGUAAUGGGUAAAGAAGCACCGGCUAACUACGUG